AGUGAACGCUGGCGGCAGGCCUAAUACAUGCAAGUCGAACGGCAGCACAGUGGAGCUUGCUCCAUGGGUGGCGAGUGGCGGACGGGUGAGGAAUACAUGGGAAUCUGCCCAGUCGUGGGGGAUAACGUAUGGAAACGUACGCUAAUACCGCAUGCGCCCUUCGGGGGAAAGUCGGGGACCGCAAGGCCUCACGUUAUACGAGCGGCCGAUGUCGGAUUAGCUAGUUGGUGGGGUAAAGGCCUACCAAGGCGACGAUCCGUAGCGGGUCUGAGAGGAUGAUCCGCCACACUGGGACUGAGACACGGCCCAGACUCCUACGGGAGGCAGCAGUGGGGAAUUUUGGACAAUGGGGGCAACCCUGAUCCAGCCAUGCCGCGUGAGUGAAGAAGGCCUUCGGGUUGUAAAGCUCUUUCAGACGGAAAGAAAUCGCACGGGUGAAUAUCCCGUGUGGAUGACGGUACCGUAAGAAGAAGCACCGGCUAACUACGUG
rnacentral:rRNA from 1 species